UACGUAGGGUGCAAGCGUUGUCCGGAAUUAUUGGGCGUAAAGAGCUCGUAGGCGGUUUGUCGCGUCUGCUGUGAAAACCCGAGGCUCAACCUCGGGCCUGCAGUGGGUACGGGCAGACUGGAGUGCAGUAGGGGAGACUGGAAUUCCUGGUGUAGCGGUGAAAUGCGCAGAUAUCAGGAGGAACACCGAUGGCGAAGGCAGGUCUCUGGGCUGUAACUGACGCUGAGGAGCGAAAGCAUGGGGAGCGAACAGG
rnacentral:rRNA from 1 species